rnacentral:rRNA from 1 species
UUGCUGUAGUAUUUUGACUAUACAAAGGUAUUGUAAUAAGACUUUAAUUGAGUGCUAAGAGAAUGGAAUUACAAGAAAUUUCUUUAUUAAAUUUAAAAAUUGAAGUUAUUUUUUUUGUGAAGAAUCAAAAAUAUUUAUUAAGGACAAGAAGACCCUAAGAAUUUUAAAGUAUAUAAGUUAAAAUUUUAACUUAUAUACUUUUGAUUGGGGCGAUUAAUUAAUAUUAAAAACUUAAUUUUUAAAAAAUAUGAACCAUUAAUAAUGGUAUUAUGAAAAAAAUACUCUAGGGAUAACAGCGUAAUAAUUUUUGAUAGUUCUUAUAGACAAAAUAGUUUGCGACCUCGAUGUUGGAUUAGGAUUAUUUUUUAAUGAAGAAGUUAAAAAAAUAAGUUUGUUCAACUUUUAAAUUCC